rnacentral:rRNA from 1 species
UACAGAGGUCUCAAGCGUUGUUCGGAUUCAUUGGGCGUAAAGGGUGCGUAGGCGGCGUGGUAAGUCGGGUGUGAAAUUUCGGAGCUUAACUCCGAAACUGCAUUCGAUACUGCUGUGCUUGAGGACUGGAGAGGAGACUGGAAUUUACGGUGUAGCAGUGAAAUGCGUAGAGAUCGUAAGGAAGACCAGUGGCGAAGGCGGGUCUCUGGACAGUUCCUGACACUGAGGCACGAAGGCCAGGGGAGCAAACGGG